UGGUCAAAUUCUCCUAAAUAAGUUUUGAUAUUUUGCCUUUUACGAAAAAAAAAAUCUAAACUAAGUAUGUGAUAUCCAAGCAGAAGUAGAGACGGGUCAAUUAUACGCGUGGUACACUUUUGGAAGUGAAUUACAUCCUCUAAUUUUGAUUUUGUUUGGUAAUCGGAUAAUAUACGUCUCUUCAAAAACGUAUAUUGUAUCUUUUAUCUCGUAAAAUUAGAAAAAUUAUGGUGAAAGUCCAAACUUUUUAGACGCGUCAGUAUGAACCAAAAAAACAAAAAUAUGAUUAAGGAUUUGUGAGAAAAUAAGAGGUUUAGCUUAAGAAUUCACAACAUGUAUAAUAA
rnacentral:sRNA from 1 species